rnacentral:rRNA from 1 species
CCCUGGUUGAUCCUGCCAGUAGUCAUAUGCUUGUCUCAAAGAUUAAGCCAUGCAUGUCUCAGUACAAGCCAAAAUAAGGUGAAACCGCGAAAGGCUCAUUAAAUCAGUUAUGGUUCCUUAGAUCGUACCCACAUUUACUUGGAUAACUGUGGUAAUUCUAGAGCUAAUACAUGCAAACAGAGCUCCGACCGGAGACGGAAGGAGUGCUUUUAUUAGAUCAAAACCAAUCGGCGUCAGUAGCGUUUCGGCGUUAUUGUUCGUCGCACUUUUUGGUGACUCUGAAUAACUUUUGGCUGAUCGCACGGUCUUGCACCGGCGACGCAUCUUUCAAAUGUCUGCCUUAUCAACUGUCGAUGGUAGGUUCUGCGCCUACCAUGGUUGUAACGGGUAACGGGGAAUCAGGGUUCGAUUCCGGAGAGGGAGCCUGAGAAACGGCUACCACAUCCAAGGAAGGCAGCAGGCGCGCAAAUUACCCACUCCCGGCACGGGGAGGUAGUGACGAAAAAUAACGAUACGGGACUCAUCCGAGGCCCCGUAAUCGGAAUGAGUACACUUUAAAUCCUAUAACAAGGACCAAUUAGAGGGCCAGUCUGGUGCCAGCCGCCGCGGUAACUCCAGCUCUAAUAGCGUAUAUUAAAGUUGUUGCGGUUAAAAAGCUCGUAGUUGAAUCUGUGUUUCGCGCUGUCGGUUCACCGCCCGCGGUGUUUAACUGGCACGUCUCGCGGAACGUCCUGCCGGUGGAUGCGUGUCCUUUGUCUACUUACCCAUUAUGCGUGUGCAACUCCGGUUGUUACUGUAUAGUGCGGUGAGGUUCAAAUGUGUCACCAUCCGACUCAAUAAUCCUGUCGCGGUGCUCUUAAUUGAGUGUCGAGGCGGGCCGGCACGUUUACUUUGAACAAAUUAGAGUGCUCAAAGCAGGCUAAAAUUUCGCCUGAAUACUGUGUGCAUGGAAUAAUGGAACAGGACCUCGGUUCUAUUUUGUUGGUUUUCGGAACCCCGAGGUAAUGAUUAAUAGGGACAGAUGGGGGCAUUCGUAUUGCGACGUUAGAGGUGAAAUUCUUGGAUCGUCGCAAGACGGACAGAAGCGAAAGCAUUUGCCAAAAAUGUUUUCAUUAAUCAAGAACGAAAGUCAGAUGUUCGAAGGCGAUCAGAUACCGCCCUAGUUCUGACCAUAAACGAUGCCAGCUAGCGAUCCGCCGACGUUCCUCCGAUGACUCGGCGGGCAGCUUCCGGGAAACCAAAGCAUUUGGGUUCCGGGGGAAGUAUGGUUGCAAAGCUGAAACUUAAAGGAAUUGACGGAAGGGCACCACCAGGAGUGGAGCCUGCGGCUUAAUUUGACUCAACACGGGAAACCUCACCAGGCCCGGACACCGGAAGGAUUGACAGAUUGAUAGCUCUUUCUUGAUUCGGUGGGUGGUGGUGCAUGGCCGUUCUUAGUUGGUGGUGUGAAUUGUCUGGUUAAUUUCGAUAACGAACGAGACGCUAACCUGCUAAAUAGGCGUAUUUCUGGUAUCCUGAAGGCUUGUGUCUCUCGUUUUCUGUCGUAUUUUAGCUGUAGUGUAUCAUCGUUUAGGCGGUGUGCAUUAUACUAGAUGCGUUUCAGUGCGGGAGUUCACAGUUUUUACUACCAGCGUACAUAUAAAUCUUCUUAGAGGGACAGGCGGCUUUGAGCCGCACGAGAUUGAGCAAUAACAGGUCUGUGAUGCCCUUAGAUGUUCUGGGCCGCACGCGCGCUACACUGAAGGAAUCAGCGUGUCUUCCCUGGCCGAACGGCCCGGGUAACCCGCUGAACCUCCUUCGUGCUAGGGAUUGGGGCUUGCAAUUGUUCCCCAUGAACGAGGAAUUCCCAGUAAGCGCGAGUCAUAAGCUCGCGUUGAUUAAGUCCCUGCCCUUUGUACACACCGCCCGUCGCUACUACCGAUUGAAUGAUUUAGUGAGGUCCUCGGACUGGUACGCGGGGUCGUUUUGACGUUCUCCGAUGUCGCUGGGAAGAUGACCAAACUU